AAAGCAACAUUACAUUCUAAAUAUGCUUGUCCUCUAAACAAGAACCUUAGCACUGGAUCAGUACUGCUUAUCAUUUUUUUCAGUGUGUUGGUGAUCUAUUUGCUGGGCGGGAUGCUAUUUCUUAAAGUGACCAGAGGAGCUAGAGGGAAGGAGCUGUUGCCUAAUUACCCCUUUUGGUCUGAUCUAUUCAUGCUUAUGCAGGAAGGUUGUGUUUUUACCGUUGACAAAGUAAAGGGACUUUGUGGAGGCAGAAGUACUGGUUACCAGAGUAUUUGAUCUCAAUAGUAGCCAGCCUUUUGAGUUUGAAAAAGGCAGUCUUAAUGCAGGUAGGAUAGUAAAAUGACAAAGAAAGAAUCAGGGUUCUUAUUAUGAUAUUUUUAAAAUGAAUUGAAUGUUAUUUAGGAUAAUUUACACUUUUAAAUACCUUGUGGUGAUUCAAAUUUGUGUGAUUUAUACUCAACACGGUUCUGACACGGUUCUGAUUGGACAAGAGGAGACUUACAGUUAAAUCCCAAAUUGUACUCUGUAGAGCCCCAAUCAAGUUGCUCAAUUUUGUUGAGUGUAUUAUAACCAAAAAAUCACACAAUCUUCUCAUACAAUUCA